rnacentral:lncRNA from 1 species
AUCUGUCACACUUUCUCACAUCUUGUAGGUUACUUUAAGGCUUUCUGGGUUGGUUACUCACCUUCCUGUCUAAACAGAUACUCUGUCAGAGUGAAGCAGAAGUUGGAUGCCACAAAUGCUGACAUGAAGCAGAGUUAGAGUAUUUUAUGUUAUCAUCAACUUGUAAGUCUAUGAAUACAAAUCAUACUAUUGCUCCUCAUUCAUGACUCUUGCGCUAAAACUGAACAACAUCUCAGCAUGACUGUGUCAACACUGUGUUUGGAUUUGGUAUGUAUACUAUUUAUAGCCUCCCAAUGCCAAAGUAAAAUUCCACCCUUGAAAAAUGGAAGUUGUUCAGCAGGUAAACAGACAUGCCUCCCACUAACUAAAAUAAAAACAAUAGUAAAACCACAUGAAAAACACCCAUUAUGGAUGGACCUUUGUGGAAUAAAUAUAAUAUAUUUGCUGAAAAUAAAUUAACCAAAAUUCAAGUGUUUUAUCUUAUUAUUUGACCUUUCCUCCAGGAUAUUACAAAUUAAAACAUGACUGUGUGAUGUGUGGGAGCGGUUUUUACACUGCCUUACCAAAUAAUCUAAAAUAUUGUUUAAGAUGUACGCCGUGUGAUUGGGAUGGUAAGUAACAUACCAGAAUGC